rnacentral:misc_RNA from 1 species
AUAGGCUUAAAGGAGAACCCCUAAAACUGGGUUCCGCUUGUAGGAAAAAAAAAAAAUUCAAGGAGGAAACAGGGGGCCAGAAGUGGAAGCUCUGAAAAUCUUGCCUUCCUGAAACAGAAUGUUGUCUAGCUUUGCUUGGCACCAGUUGAGGUGGGAAGAGGAAAGCACUGGCAAUUGGAGCACUCUUGAUAUCAAUUUCAUGUCUAUCAUUGUGAACAACAUCUCCUUUGUUUGGGACUCCUCUGCAUCAGUCUUUACCACUCUCCUGAACCAGCACCUUUGCUUCCCUUGUGAAUCUUUCAACCACAGCUCCUUCUUUUGGAGUUUUCUAGUGAGGUCCGCUAGUAGUUUCAAAUCUCUAGGGUCCUCCACAGGUGGGCAUGUCCACAAGGAACUUCUCAAUUUCCACCAAGGCUUUUUGUUGUCUGUUUUUACAAAGGUCCAAAAUGCCUGUAUGCACCUCUCUAUCGCCUUCAGCACUUCUUUAAUAUCUAUGACUUCUUUGUUCAUUUCCUCAUCUCCCUGUUCAGUGAACCCUUUAAAUGCUGAAACCUUGGGGACUUGGA